rnacentral:miRNA from 1 species
GAACAUGCAGGUUUGGGGGCUCUAUCGCCAGAGACUGUGAUUCUAUGAGUGUGGAGUCCAGGACCCUGCAUUUUUAAAGGGACCCCAGGGGACUCUGAUGA